UGGCGGCGCGCUUAACACAUGCAAGUCGCACGAGAAAGGGGGCAACCCUGAGUACAGUGGCGAACGGGUGAGUAACACGUGGGUAAUCUACCUCUGAGUGGGGAAUAACCCUGGGAAACCGGGGCUAAUACCGCAUAAUCUCGAGAGAGGAAAGCAGCAAUGCGCUGAGAGAGGAGCCCGCGGCCGAUUAGCUAGUUGGGAGGGUAAAAGCCUACCAAGGCAGAGAUCGGUAGCCGGCCUGAGAGGGCACACGGCCACACUGGCACUGAAACACGGGCCAGACUCCUACGGGAGGCAGCAGUGGGGAAUCUUGCACAAUGGGGGAAACCCUGAUGCAGCGACGCCGCGUGAGCGAUGAAGCCCUUCGGGGUGUAAAGCUCUUUCGUCAGGGAAGAUGAUGACGGUACCUGGAGAAGCAGCUGCGGCUAACUACGUGCCAGCAGCCGCGGUAAUACGUAGGCAGCGAGCGUUGUUCGGAGUUACUGGGCGUAAAGGGUGUGUAGGCGGUUCUUUAAGUUUGGUGUGAAAUCUCCCGGCU
rnacentral:rRNA from 1 species